rnacentral:rRNA from 1 species
CUACGGGAGGCAGCAGUAGGGAAUCUUCCGCAAUGGACGAAAGUCUGACGGAGCAACGCCGCGUGAGUGAUGAAGGUUUUCGGAUCGUAAAGCUCUGUUGUUAGGGAAGAACAAGUGCGAGAGUAACUGCUCGCACCUUGACGGUACCUAACCAGAAAGCCACGGCUAACUACGUGCCAGCAGCCGCGGUAAUACGUAGGUGGCAAGCGUUGUCCGGAAUUAUUGGGCGUAAAGGGCUCGCAGGCGGUUUCUUAAGUCUGAUGUGAAAGCCCCCGGCUCAACCGGGGAGGGUCAUUGGAAACUGGGAAACUUGAGUGCAGAAGAGGAGAGUGGAAUUCCACGUGUAGCGGUGAAAUGCGUAGAGAUGUGGAGGAACACCAGUGGCGAAGGCGACUCUCUGGUCUGUAACUGACGCUGAGGAGCGAAAGCGUGGGGAGCGAACAGGAUUAGAUACCCUGGUAGUCCACGCCGUAAACGAUGAGUGCUAAGUGUUAGGGGGUUUCCGCCCCUUAGUGCUGCAGCUAACGCAUUAAGCACUCUGCCUGGGGAGUACGGUCGCAAGACUGAAACUCAAAGGAAUUGACG